rnacentral:rRNA from 1 species
UACGUAGGGUGCGAGCGUUAAUCGGAAUUACUGGGCGUAAAGCGUGCGCAGGCGGUUUUGUAAGACAGAUGUGAAAUCCCCGGGCUUAACCUGGGAAUGGCGUUUGGGACUGCAAGGCUCGAGUGCGGCAGAGGAGACUGGAAUUCCUGGUGUAGCAGUGAAAUGCGUAGAUAUCAAGAGGAACGCCGGUGGCGAAAGCGAUUCUCUGGAUCGUUCCUGACACUGAGGCGCGAAAGCUAGGGGAGCAAACAGG